rnacentral:rRNA from 1 species
CCUACGGGAGGCUGCAGUGGGGAAUAUUGGACAAUGGGCGCAAGCCUGAUCCAGCCAUGCCGCGUGGGUGAAGAAGGCCUUCGGGUUGUAAAGCCCUUUUGUUGGGAAAGAAAAGCAAUCGGCCAAUACCCGAUUGUUCUGACGGUACCCAAAGAAUAAGCACCGGCUAACUUCGUGCCAGCAGCCGCGGUAAUACGAAGGGUGCAAGCGUUACUCGGAAUUACUGGGCGUAAAGCGUGCGUAGGUGGUGGUUUAAGUCCGUUGUGAAAGCCCUGGGCUCAACCUGGGAAUUGCAGUGGAUACUGGGUCACUAGAAUGUGGUAGAGGGUAGCGGAAUUCCUGGUGUAGCAGUGAAAUGCGUAGAGAUCAGGAGGAACAUCCGUGGCGAAGGCGGCUACCU